rnacentral:lncRNA from 1 species
UUUCUGUGAAGCUUCACGCAACCACAUCCCAUCCCAUCAAAAAUCACUUCAAAUUGUUAACCUGCAGGGAUAAAAAUAGCUUAAUUAAAAAACCCUUUUCAUAAAGCACUUAAAGAACUGAAAAGUAAUUAAUGAGUUAAUCAGUUUAACAUUUAUCCAGAAGUCCAAUACGAAACUCAAAAAGCAUACUUCGAAAAUAACUUAAAACAGUAACACAUUUACAAAAAUGGAAUCCACAAUAACCGGGAAUGGAAAGGCAUAACAGACGGUUUUCUUUUGAGGAUAAAAAAUUCAUCUGUGAAGAGAUCAGGAGAUAUAUAAGAACACGUCUAAAAAAUCCAGGGGGACGGAGAUACUUCUUUGUAAGCAUAAAAUCGCAAAAACAACAC